ACGCUGGCGGCGUGCCUAAUACAUGCAAGUCGAACGGUCUUUCUAUGGAAGCUUGCUUCCACUGAAAAGAUAGUGGCGAACGGGUGAGUAACACGUGGGUAACCUGCCCAUAAGAGGGGGAUAACAUCCGGAAACGGGUGCUAAUACCGCAUAGUUUUCUUGAUCGCAUGAUCGGGAAAGGAAAGACGGCCUUUGUGCUGUCGCUUAUGGAUGGACCCGCGGCGUAUUAGUUAGUUGGUGAGGUAACGGCUCACCAAGACGAUGAUACGUAGCCGACCUGAGAGGGUGAUCGGCCACAUUGGGACUGAGACACGGCCCAAACUCCUACGGGAGGCAGCAGUAGGGAAUCUUCCGCAAUGGACGAAAGUCUGACGGAGCAACGCCGCGUGAGUGAAGAAAAGGUUUUCGGAUCGUAAAACUCUGUUGUCAGAGAAGAACAAGUUGGAGAGUAACUGCUCCAGCCUUGACGGUAUCUGACCAGAAAGCCACGGCUAACUACGUGCCAGCCGCUGC
rnacentral:rRNA from 1 species